AACUAAUAAUUAGAAGGCAUUCGUCCAGCACUUGAUGGAUUUGCAUCACUAAUUCAUAUAUUUAUAUGUUCAUUUGUGAAAAGAUAGAAGUUCUAGGGACUAGAAUGUGGGAAAAUAGAAAUUUCAGGGGUUAGAAUGUGUUAUAAACUCAUAUAGUCAUAUGCUCUAUAAUUACUAAAAAGAGAAAGGGGCAAAUCAAAAAUGAACCAAACCUUAUCUGUUCCACCCUCCAUGAAUCGCUGCCAGUCGUCUCUCGUCUCUCUCCCUCUCAACCUUCUCUCCCGCCCUCCAUGGCUCCCGGCCUCCCCAAUCUCUCCGUUCUUUUCUCCCCCAAAUCCCAUCUGCUGCCAUGGCGACGAGGCCAGAGGAGGCAGCCGCGCCCCCACCGGUUGGCGCGCGACCGCGGAGCGCUCGUCGAGAUCCCCGGCGCACCUGCUGAGGCCACCUCAGCACACCCGCGCCCCCACCGGCUGGCGCGCGACCGCGGCGUGCUCGUCGAGAUCCCCGGCGCGCCCGCUGCGGAGGUCGCCUCAGCACACCCGCACUCGCCGUUGCCCUGCCCGGCGCUCCCUCCCCGGCGGAGUUGAGGCGUUGGGCCGUAUCCAAUCUGGCCCAACCGCGUCCGGUACGCGUAUCUGCGCCAUGUAGGGAAAGAUUUCACAAAUGUAGCCGCAAGAACAUAAAGAUCAAGGAAAGAAUGGUUUGGAAGUUGUCGACAUGUAUUUCCAGACCUCUCCACAGUGAAUUGUAAUGGGGAUUCCAAGCUCUUUAGCAUGUUGUAGGGCAGGCAAGUAUGUUUCCCUUCAUAAUUAUUGCAAAUACCACGGAAUGUUAGCACAUAAAAUAUUUAUCAUGUUUUGACCUACUUUAAGCCAGAUAUUAUGUACUUUUUACCA